rnacentral:ncRNA from 1 species
GAGAGCCGGAUGCGGGAAAACUGCCUGUCCGGUUCGGAGGGAGGGGGGCCGGACCGACCUGUCCGGCCUCCCUACCCCUAU